GUUGUAGAGAUAAAUGAAAAGUUCACAGAGUUACUUUUGGCAAUCACCAAUUGUGAGGAGAGGUUCAGCCUGUUUAAAAACAGAAACAGACUAAGUAAAGGCCUCCAAAUAGACGUGGGCUGUCCUGUGAAAGUACAGCUGAGAUCUGGGGAAGAAAAAUUUCCUGGAGUUGUACGCUUCAGAGGACCCCUGUUAGCAGAGAGGACAGUCUCCGGAAUAUUCUUUGGAGUUGAAUUGCUGGAAGAAGGUCGUGGCCAAGGUUUCACUGACGGGGUGUACCAAGGGAAACAGCUUUUUCAGUGUGAUGAAGAUUGUGGCGUGUUUGUUGCAUUGGACAAGCUAGAACUCAUAGAAGACGAUGACACUGCAUUGGAAAGUGAUUAUGCAGGUCCUGGGGACACAAUGCAGGUCGAACUUCCUCCUUUGGAAAUAAACUCCAGAGUUUCUUUGAAGGUUGGAGAAACAAUAGAAUCUGGAACAGUUAUAUUCUGUGAUGUUUUGCCAGGAAAAGAAAGCUUAGGAUAUUUUGUUGGUGUGGACAUGGAUAACCCUAUUGGCAACUGGGAUGGAAGAUUCGAUGGAGUGCAGCUUUGUAGUUUUGCGUGUGUUGAAAGUACAAUUCUAUUGCACAUCAAUGAUAUCAUCCCAGAGAGCGUGACACAGGAAAGGAGGCCUCCCAAACUUGCCUUUAUGUCAAGAGGUGUUGGGGACAAAGGUUCAUCCAGUCAUAAUAAACCAAAGGCUACAGGAUCUACCUCAGACCCUGGAAAUAGAAACAGAUCUGAAUUAUUUUAUACCUUAAAUGGGUCUUCUGUUGACUCACAACCACAAUCCAAAUCAAAAAAUACAUGGUACAUUGAUGAAGUUGCAGAAGACCCUGCAAAAUCUCUUACAGAGAUAUCUACAGACUUUGACCGUUCUUCACCACCACUCCAGCCUCCUCCUGUGAACUCACUGUCCACCGAGAACAGAUUCCACUCUUUACCAUUCAGUCUCACAAAGAUGCCCAAUACCAAUGGAAGUAUUGGCCACAGUCCACUUUCUCUGUCAGCCCAGUCUGUGAUGGAAGAGCUAAACACUGCACCCGUCCAAGAGAGUCCACCCUUGGCCAUGCCUCCUGGGAACUCACAUGGUCUAGAAGUGGGCUCAUUGGCUGAAGUUAAGGAGAACCCUCCUUUCUAUGGGGUAAUCCGUUGGAUCGGUCAGCCACCAGGACUGAAUGAAGUGCUCGCUGGACUGGAACUGGAAGAUGAGUGUGCAGGCUGUACGGAUGGAACCUUCAGAGGCACUCGGUAUUUCACCUGUGCCCUGAAGAAGGCGCUGUUUGUGAAACUGAAGAGCUGCAGGCCUGACUCUAGGUUUGCAUCAUUGCAGCCGGUUUCCAAUCAGAUUGAGCGCUGUAACUCUUUAGCAUUUGGAGGCUACUUAAGUGAAGUAGUAGAAGAAAAUACUCCACCAAAAAUGGAAAAAGAAGGCCUGGAGAUAAUGAUUGGGAAGAAGAAAGGCAUCCAGGGUCAUUACAAUUCUUGUUACUUAGACUCAACCUUAUUCUGCUUAUUUGCUUUUAGUUCUGUUCUGGACACUGUGUUACUUAGACCCAAAGAAAAGAACGAUGUAGAAUAUUAUAGUGAAACCCAAGAGCUACUGAGGACAGAAAUUGUUAAUCCUCUGAGAAUAUAUGGAUAUGUGUGUGCCACAAAAAUUAUGAAACUGAGGAAAAUACUUGAAAAGGUGGAGGCUGCAUCAGGAUUUACCUCUGAAGAAAAAGGUGACCAUCUUAACUUAUAUGCAUUAAAAAUAACUGAAGAGCAUAUUCACAUGUCAAAGUAUUAGCUGAAACGUGCGUCUGUGUAGUUGGGGGGUUUUCUUUUAAAUUAGAAAUUUCUUUUUAUGUGAUAUAUGGUUAGCUCCUCUUUUUGUAAAUUCUUCCUCUCUUCUAAAAGUGAUUGAUGAUGUGGAAUAAUGAACUCCUUUAAGAAGCUGGCUGGUUCUAGUAUAUUAAAUGCUUAAAUAAAAAGUCCUUUCCUUUCCACCCAGCAAUGAUAUUCUCAGUUGUUUCUCUCUUGUGGUGCAGAGUUGCAUUGGGUUUUCUACAUUUUCCCACUGAGUUUUCCCUGUUAUAAAAGGGAGUUAGAAAGCUGCUGACUAGGAUUAAGUUUAUAGUCAGGAAACAGUGUUAUAAUCUCUUCCUAGCUAAUGGGCUUACUCAAAGAUUCACCACCUGACUUUGAACUUGUCAGCAGCAUACUGUAAACAGCUGUAAUGUUUAGAAGCUUGCAGGAAAAAACAGAGCAUACCUCAGAUUGUACUCCACUUACCUUAACCCCUCCAAAAGAAAUAACAGCUAUUUCAUUAUGUGCGAUGUGUUACACCCUUUCAAAUGUAAUAAACUUACAACAAAAUUGAAACAUAAUACUUGAUUAUAACUUUUAAAUGUCUUUUAUGUUUUUCCUUUGUCAGGAAAACUUGAAAACUGUGCUUUUAAUUGAAAUAAUAUUGGAUGAAUGAAACUGAAUUCAGUAUUAAAAUAUGACUGUUAGAAAUAAAAAAUAAAAUGAUUUAAAAAU
rnacentral:sRNA from 1 species